UCUGCCGUCUGAGGUUGGCCUGGCGUCUGGGCCGGGCCCCCGGCUGUCUCCUGUCUGCCACGUGGCAGCUCCUGAGCGCGUGCAGGUGAAGCCAGACCCGUUACUUUCGCACCGUCGAGCACGGAAACAGAAAACGCAAGCAGAGAUGCUAGGUCACCUGGGGUCGCGGAGAGCGCAGUUGGCGAGCCCGGUGGCCGCCUGUGCACGGUGGACUUACCCUUCCAGGCUGCCCGCACGAAGAUGGUGACUGGAUGGGUGGCCUCCAAGGCUAUGCAGACCAGUGUGUCGUUGCCUGCUGCGCACCUGUUAUGUAACUUCGUGCGGACACGCACACCUACGCUUUUUGGGUCAGAUGUUCCCUCUGUCAUACUUCUUUGUGUGGUACAACCAGGGAUGAUCCACCCUGAUUUUUCAAGGCCACACCAAAGGAAUCCUCCCUGCAGUGUUUGAAUGUGAUGACUCCAGGAGAAGCUAAAUAUUAG